rnacentral:rRNA from 1 species
GACGUAGGGCGCGAGCGUUGUCCGGAUUUAUUGGGCGUAAAGAGCUCGUAGGCGGCUUGUCGCGUCGAAUGUGAAAUCUCGGGGCUCAACUCCGAGCUUGCAUUCGAUACGGGCAGGCUAGAGUUCGGUAGGGGAGACUGGAGUUCCUGGUGUAGCGGUGAAAUGCGCAGAUAUCAGGAGGAACACCGGUGGCGAAGGCGGGUCUCUGGGCCGAUACUGACGCUGAGGAGCGAAAGCGUGGGGAGCGAACAGG